rnacentral:lncRNA from 1 species
AAAACAACGUGGCUGUGUCACUGCCACCCUCUAACCCAGAAGGUUUUCAGAGAUGUACUGCUGACUCCAAGCACCAUGUACCCACUUCUCCGCACAGUGCGGGUGCAAGGACCUUAGCAUCCAUCCCAAGCCCAAGCUUCGGUGAGCUUCAAAGCUAGGAGAAGCUUCUGUGAGCACCAGAACCAAAGCUCUUCACUUCCAUGGAGCCCAGAGUCCCCAGGACCAGGUAAGCAGUUGGUGAUGUCUCAGGCGGACUCCCAAAAGACAGAGCUCACCGUCUCCACUGUGAACUGGGUUUGAAACACAUGAAGAAAGAACUGUGCGGAGAGCUGCAAUAACUUCAGAAAUAUUCAUGUGCUCGACUCAAGAUCAAUAUUUAUGAUUUCCCAACCUCUUGGACAUUCCAUAGAGGAAAGUAAGUGAAGAGGAAAUCCUGAUGGAGUGGGGGUCUCUGCCUUUUUAAUGGAGAUCGACCAGCAGUCAAAUGCAGGGCUAAAAUUAUCAGGCUGUUUCAGAGUCCAGAUCUCCACCAGUUGGGAUAGCAGGGUGAGAUUGGUACUUUAAAAUAGCUUGACAAAGUAGAUCAUGAAUAAUGACCGGGCAGGCAGCUAUUAGUAAUCUAUGAGUCUAGGCUCUUUGGUGUUCUCUCUCUCUCUCUCUCUCUCUCUCUCUCUAUAUAUAUAUAUAUAUAUAUAUAUAUAUAUAUAUACACCCCAAACAAAAAUAUCUGUCAUCUAUAAAUAAUCUCUUUCCUGAAUUCCCUUACUGAAUUAUAGGAAUCUAGCAAGAGGCACUACAUACUAAUGUUGCUCAGCAGGAUGUCAGAUACAAUGCCGUGUUCUGCCUCAUGGCUUUGGACCUACAAGAAGCACUCUAGAGACACAGAAGAGCCAACUUAUGAUGCCAGUGUAUGGUAUCCAAUAAUGGCUUGAUAAUGUUUCUCCCCCUGAUAGAUGAGGUCAAACCUGGGGAACUAACUCACC